AUUGAACGCUGGCGGCAGGCCUAACACAUGCAAGUCGAGCGAAUGAGGGAAGCUUGCUUCCCGAUUUAGCGGCGGACGGGUGAGUAAUGCCUAGGAAUCUGCCUAUUAGUGGGGGAUAACGUUCCGAAAGGAACGCUAAUACCGCAUACGUCCUACGGGAGAAAGUGGGGGAUCUUCGGACCUCACGCUAACAGAUGAGCCUAGGUCGGAUUAGCUAGUAGGUGAGGUAAUGGCUCACCUAGGCGACGAUCCGUAGCUGGUCUGAGAGGAUGAUCAGCCACACUGGAACUGAGACACGGUCCAGACUCCUACGAGAGGCAGCAGUGGGGAAUAUUGGACAAUGGGCGAAAGCCUGAUCCAGCCAUGCCGCGUGUGUGAAGAAGGUCUUCGGAUUGUAAAGCACUUUAAGUUGGGAGGAAGAGUUGUAAGCUAAUAUCUUGCAGCUUUGACGUUACCAACAGAAUAAGCACCGGCUAACUCUGUGCCAGCCGCCGCGGUAACAC
rnacentral:rRNA from 1 species